CGCAUUCUUCGGAAUGAGUGGCGCACGGCUGAGGAACACGUGACUAACCUACCCCGGUGUGGGGGAUAACGGGUCGAAAGACUCGCUAAUCCCGCAUACGAUCCGCCUCGGCGGAGGAAAGCCGUAAGGCGCACUGGGCGGGGGUCGCGUCCCAUUAGAUAGUUGGUGUGGUAAUGGCGCACCAAGUCGAUGAUGGGUCUCUGGUCUGAGAGGACGACCAGACAGAUUGGGACUGAGACACGGCCCAAACUCCUACGGGGGGCAGCAGCAAGGAAUUUUCGGCAAUGGGCGCAAGCCUGACCGAGCAACGCCGCGUGGAGGAUGACGGCUCUUGGGUUGUAAACUCCUUUUGGGGGGGACGAUAAUGACGGUACCCUCCGAAUCAGGCCCGGCUAACUACGUGCCAGCAGCCGCGGUAAUACGUAGGGGCCAAGCGUUGUCCGGAAUUACUGGGCGUAAAGCGUGGGUAGGUGGUCGGUGAUGUGCCGCGUGAAAGCGCCGGAGUAAUGCCGGCGAGGUCGCGGUAGACGGACGGACUCGAGGCUCGCAGAGGAACGUGGAAUUCCCGGUGUAGUGGUGAAAUGCGUAGAUAUCGGGAGGAACACCAGUGGCGCAAGCGGCGUUCUGGGCGAGACCUGACACUGAGCCACGACGGCGUGGGGAGCAAACAGGAUUAGAUACCCUGGUAGUCCACGCAGUANACGAUGCAUACCAGGUGUGGGAUGGCGNUCGCGUCGUUCCGUGCCGCAGCUUACGCGAUGAGUAUGCCGCCUGGGGACUACGAGCGCAAGCUUAAAACUCAAA
rnacentral:rRNA from 1 species